rnacentral:lncRNA from 1 species
ACAAGUUUAUAACUUUGUUUUGAAGAUUUGUGAGCUUUGAGCAAGUUUUGAGUGCUUGGAGGUUCAAAGAGCUUAAUCUCUCCAUCUCCAAGCUAGGAUCGCUUUCCUCUCGUUUCUUCAAGAGGUAAGGGUCGAUCUUGAACCCUUUUUAUGUUUUAAACAAGUUUUAAGUAAGAUCUAUGGGGUUUUGAUGAUGUUUGAGCAAUGUAGCUUGAUUGUGUGUGUAUGAAGUGUUGUAGAUGGGGUAUAUGCAUGUUUGAGACCCCUAGGAACUUGUAUGUGUGUUUUGGUUGAGAAAUAUGCAUGACCUAUGGUUUUGGGAGGCAGGAGGUUCAUUUGAACAAAGUUUCUGCCGUUUGGCAGAAACCAGGUUCGGCAGCCGAAGGGAGUUUCGGCCGCCGAACCCCUCUUGUGAAGGCAGCUUUCGGCUGCCGAAGGUGCCCCCGAAAAGAGACUUUCGUCUCUGUCUGGCACUUUCGGCCGCCGAAGGUGCCGCCGAACCUAGCUGAGUUUCGUCUCUGUCCAGGACUUUCGGCCGCCGAAGGUGCCGCCGAAGGUGCCCUGUUCAGCCGUUUCAUGCAUAUUUUCUGUGAUGUUUUCAUGAUGUUUUAGGGGGUUUUUGGGGGAUAUAUUAGAGUUGUGUUUAUAUAUGUUUGGUCCCUCAUUGGAGUCCACCUGUGUAGGUUCGGACCCGAGGAACCGAGGACCCCAGCAGUGAGUGAGCUGCUUCAGUGUCUGGUCAGAGCUAACCAGAGGUGAGUGGAAACAAGCUUAAUGUUUUAAAUCAAGCAAUUAAAUGUUUUGAGCAUGUUUCAUGCAUCAUGAUGUCAUGUAAUAGGCUGAUUGCAUUAGUUCACGAAUAUGUCGCAUUGCAUUUUAUUUUGUGGUUGUGGGUGAAUGCUGUAUGAUCCAAUUAGUCCACGAGGCUUUAUAUAUGAUAUGACAGGAAGACCAGGACCCCAUGCUACGGCCUGGCACGAGACUUUAUAUAUGAUAUGACAGGAAGACCAGGANNNN